rnacentral:rRNA from 1 species
AUACGGAGGAUCCGAGCGUUAUCCGGAUUUAUUGGGUUUAAAGGGAGCGUAGGUGGAUUGUUAAGUCAGUUGUGAAAGUUUGCGGCUCAACCGUAAAAUUGCAGUUGAAACUGGCAGUCUUGAGUACAGUAGAGGUGGGCGGAAUUCGUGGUGUAGCGGUGAAAUGCUUAGAUAUCACGAAGAACUCCGAUUGCGAAGGCAGCUCACUAGACUGUUACUGACACUGAUGCUCGAAAGUGUGGGUAUCAAACAGGAUUAGAUACCCUGGUAGUCCACACAGUAAACGAUGAAUACUCGCUGUUUGCGAUAUACAGUAAGUGGCCAAGCGAAAGCAUUAAGUAUUCCACCUGGGGAGUACGCCGGCAACGGUGAAACUCAAAUGAAUUGACGGGG